GACAGAGGGUGCAAACGUUGCUCGGAAUCACUGGGCGUAAAGGGCGCGUAGGCGGGAAUGUAAGUCGGGCGUGAAAUCCCCAGGCUCAACCUGGGAACUGCACUCGAAACUGCGUUUCUUGAGUAUCGGAGAGGAAAGCGGAAUUCCUGGUGUAGAGGUGAAAUUCGUAGAUAUCAGGAGGAACACCAGUGGCGAAGGCGGCUUUCUGGACGGUAACUGA
rnacentral:rRNA from 1 species